CAAAAAAAAAAAAAAACCCUAUAAAUAUACAAAGGGACAGAGAGAAGGAACAAACCAUGAAAAACAAUAGUACAGGAACCGUUUGGAAUAAGAUCACUAACAGCAUAACCAUGGAACAGCUCAAAAUCACCCAGAAAACGAAAAUACACAGCUAAGAGUAGACAGAUCUGAUAUAGAAUUAGAAAAUUAUAGCUUUUAUUUUAACAUUUGACUAAAACUGUUAGGAUAAAAAAGCAACUAGAACAAAAUAGCAAGUCCAGAUCUGCAUAUUGUGAAGGGAAAUUUUGAACUCAAAGCGCAAAACCGCCACAAAUCUACAGACGAAUCUACAGUUGUGUAAGAGAGAGAGAGAGAGAGAG
rnacentral:misc_RNA from 1 species